GUGGAUUAGAUACCCUGGUAGUCCGCACUGUAAACGAUGAUUACUCGCUGCUUGGGGGCAACCCUGAGUGGCUUAGCGAAAGCGAUAAGUAAUCCACCUGGGGAGUACGCCGGCAACGGUGAAACUCAAAGGAAUUGACGGGGGCCCGCACAAGCGGAGGAGCAUGUGGUUUAAUUCGAUGAUACGCGAGGAACCUUACCAGGGCUUGAAAGUUAGGGAAUGAUUCUGAAAGGAGUCAGUCAGCAAUGACCCGAAACUAGGUGCUGCAUGGCCGUCGACAACU
rnacentral:rRNA from 1 species